CCGGGUGCCACCCAGCAGAGCAGGGUCCUUUGGCAGUGCCACCCUCCCUGGGAAGGUCUGCUGGGGACACAGAGCCUGUCCUGGGCUGCUGACUGCAGCCAUCUGGCUGUGGAGCUGUUCCCUCAGUGGCUCUCCAGGGCGGAAGAAACAAAACGUGGAUUUUGGCUGGCUCCAGGCACCCCCACAGCGAGCUGGCAGCUGUUUGCAAACUGCCAGGACCCACCUUUGCUCCCACAGGACCCUUUCAUGGAUCACAUGGAAUGACAAUCAUGUUCCCAUCUUCACUUCUUGAAUCUUGCAUCAGCUUUAACCCCAUUAUUUGCCCAGGACUGAGGUCAGGGGAAGUUACUUAGAGGUGCCAGGGUUGUUCUGGCAGUGUAUCUGGAGCACUGCCACACCAUUAAUGCUCCAACAAUCUGCUGGACUUUAUCUAGGAUCAAUCGUGUAUCAAAAACCAACGUUCUCCGGGGAUAACCUCACCUGGCUACAGGGAUCACCC
rnacentral:lncRNA from 12 species